CAGAAAAUAGUUUAAAAUAAAAUAAUAAUUUUGGAGAUUAUUGAUAUGUAUUCACUAUGUGUUUUUGA
rnacentral:tRNA from 1 species